rnacentral:rRNA from 1 species
AUUGAACGCUGGCGGCAGGCCUAACACAUGCAAGUCGAACGAGUGGCGGAAGGGGGAGAAAUGUCUGGGAAACUGCCUGAUGGAGGGGGAUAACUAAGGGCAACGGUAGCUAAUACCGCAUACCAUCAGAUAUGCCCAGAUGGGCUUGGCUCGUUGGUGGGGUAACGGCUCACCUAGGUGACGAGCCCUAGCUGGUCUGAGAGGAUGAGCAGCCAGACUGGAACUGAGACACGGUCCAGACGCCUACGGGAGGCAGCAGUGGGGAAUAUUGCACUAUGGGCGCAAGCCUGAUGCAGCCAUGCCGCGUGUAUGAAGAAGGCCUUCGGGUUGUAAAGGAUUUUAAGCUGGGAGGCGUUACCCGCAGAAGAAGCACCGGCUAACUCCGUGCCAGCAGCCGCGGUAAUAC